AUGCAGCCUUACAGAUUAGCAGCCUUCAACAUACGCACAGGGUUGAAGCUGGCUACAAAAUUUUAUGGACCUUACAGAAUCCUAUAGAAGAUAGGUAACUCCUCAUACAAACUGUUACUACCUCAUAAUGUAUAGAUACACAACAUCUUCCACGUCAGUCAAUUGAAAAGACACUUGGGGCCCUUGGCCGUACCAGCUCCGGGGUUGCCAUUGGUGGACGAGUCAGGCAAGAUCAAGGUUUCUCCAGUAUUGGUAUUAGAAACUCGAGUUGUUCCACGACCUCCCAAACUUGUCAUGCAAUGGCUCGUGUAGUGGCUCAAUAUGUCACCUGAAGAAGCAACAUGGGAAGAUGCAGAUUUCAUUAAGUCCACCUUCCCUGAGUUCUUCAACUCCACCAUUCGCUCUUGGUUUCCAACAACCGAUCCUCGAGGGCAAGGAUCGUCUUCAGAGGCAGGCAAUUGUCAGGACCCUGCUGACCUACAGCUCAUAACUGAAGAACAGAGCAGUUACUCUGAAGAAUUCGACAGCGACGAUGAAUCGAUACUCACUUGGGAAUGGACGGCUGAGAUGGCAUCGAUGGGAAUCAACGGACGUCGGGCGUAA
rnacentral:rRNA from 1 species